rnacentral:rRNA from 1 species
CAGUCGCCGCGGGAAUACGAAGGGUGCAAGCGUUAAUCGGAAUUACUGGGCGUAAAGCGUGCGUAGGCGGUUUGUUAAGUCUGUUGUGAAAUCCCCGGGCUCAACCUGGGAAUGGCAAUGGAUACUGGCAAGCUAGAGUGUGUCAGAGGGGGGUGGAAUUCCGCGUGUAGCAGUGAAAUGCGUAGAUAUGCGGAGGAACACCGAUGGCGAAGGCAGCCCCCUGGGCCAACACUGACGCUCAUGCACGAAAGCGUGGGGAGCAAACAGGAUUAGAUACCCCCGUAGUCCCUGUCUCUUAUAC